GAUGGGAUGAUCCCAUUUCUUGUUUGGUUGAAUGGGAUGGGGUCGUCCCAAUUUUUUGUUUGGUUGGAGAGAUUGCGACAGACGGGAUGAGCACCGUUUUCUCCUUCCGUUAGACACCGUUUGUGGGGCCCACUCGUCAUACUAACAACGUCUUCUUCUUCCUCCCUAUCUUCUCCUUAUCUUCUCCCACCGGCCUUAUCUUCUCCCGCCGGCCUCCUCCGGUCCUCUCCCGCAGCUCGGGACCUCGCCCCCGCCGACGUCGGGCCCCG
rnacentral:lncRNA from 1 species